AUUUAAUAGCCAKCGGUUAAUUAAGCAUCRAGUGUUAAAUAUGCUAGUCCUUUCAUGAUUAUGUGAUAGGUGGUGCAUGGCCGUUCUUAGUUCGUGRAGUGAUCUGUCUGCUUAAUUGCGUUUCACUAAGGGCCCAUAAAUUCAAGGUAUGUUASCUAUCGUCGCUCUAUGGACCCCUUAUUCACUGCUUUAAUUAGUUUGUUUAAGCGCGCGUCUUUAUUUAAUGAGUUUAARACACUGCGCAUG
rnacentral:rRNA from 1 species